AAGAGUUGAUCCUGGCUCAGAUUGAACGCUGGCGGCAGGCCUAACACAUGCAAGUCGAGCGGAUGAAGGGAGCUUGCUCCUGGAUUCAGCGGCGGGCGGGUGAGUAAUGCCUAGGAAUCUGCCUGGUAGUGGGGGAUAACGUCCGGAAACGGGUGCUAAUACCGCAUACGUCCUGAGGGAGAAAGUGGGGGAUCUUCGGACCUCACGCUAUCAGAUGAGCCUAGGUCGGAUUAGCUAGUUGGUGGGGUAAAGGCCUACCAAGGCGACGAUCCGUAACUGGUCUGAGAGGAUGAUCAGUCACACUGGAACUGAGACACGGUCCAGACUCCUACGGGAGGCAGCAGUGGGGAAUAUUGGACAAUGGGCGAAAGCCUGAUCCAGCCAUGCCGCGUGUGUGAAGAAGGUCUUCGGAUUGUAAAGCACUUUAAGUUGGGAGGAAGGGCAGUAAGUUAAUACCUUGCUGUUUUGACGUUACCAACAGAAUAAGCACCGGCUAACUUCGUGCCAGCAGCCGCGGUAAUACGAAGGGUGCAAGCGUUAAUCGGAAUUACUGGGCGUAAAGCGCGCGUAGGUGGUUCAGCAAGUUGGAUGUGAAAUCCCCGGGCUCAACCUGGGAACUGCAUCCAAAACUACUGAGCUAGAGUACGGUAGAGGGUGGUGGAAUUUCCUGUGUAGCGGUGAAAUGCGUAGAUAUAGGAAGGAACACCAGUGGCGAAGGCGACCACCUGGACUGAUACUGACACUGAGGUGCGAAAGCGUGGGGAGCAAACAGGAUUAGAUACCCUGGUAGUCCACGCCGUAAACGAUGUCGACUAGCCGUUGGGAUCCUUGAGAUCUUAGUGGCGCAGCUAACGCGAUAAGUCGACCGCCUGGGGAGUACGGCCGCAAGGUAAAACUCAAAGGAAUUGACGGC
rnacentral:rRNA from 1 species